rnacentral:tmRNA from 2 species
GGGAGUGUGAGUUUUGAUGAAUUGCUCUUUUAAGCAAGGCAAGUUGAGCCAUCUUGGGGCUCGUUAAUAUCUGAGAAAAACAUAAUUGCUACUAAUUUAUUUAAUAGACAACCAGCGUUGGCUUUAGCUUAAUGCUGCAUCCUCGCCAUUGACUCCUGAUAAAUGGAGUUAGGGUGUUAUAUUAUCAGGAUAGAUAAUUUACUUCUCCGAUAAAUUAUCAAAAUUAAGGAGAUAAGGCAUUAAAAAUUUUGUUAAUUUUUUAUCUAAUGCUCGAACAUCAAAAUUAACUAAACUUGUAGAAUUACUUAAGAAAGCUUUUCAGACGCGAGUUCAAUCUCGCCACUUCCACAU